CUUAUGCGUUGUUGGGUAGGGGAGCGUUCUGUAAGCCUGCGAAGGUGGCCUGUGAGGGUUGCUGGAGGUAUCAGAAGUGCGAAUGCUGACAUAAGUAACGAUAAAGCGGGUGAAAAGCCCGCUCGCCGGAAGACCAAGGGUUCCUGUCCAACGUUAAUCGGGGCAGGGUGAGUCGACCCCUAAGGCGAGGCCGAAAGGCGUAGUCGAUGGGAAACGGGUUAAUAUUCCCGUACUUGGUGUUACUGCGAAGGGGGGACGGAGAAGGCUAUGUUGGCCGGGCGACGGUUGUCCCGGUUUAAGCGUGUAGGCUGGUUUUCCAGGCAAAUCCGGAAAAUCAAGGCUGAGGCGUGAUGACGAGGCACUACGGUGCUGAAGCAACAAAUGCCCUGCUUCCAGGAAAAGCCUCUAAGCAUCAGGUAACAUCAAAUCGUACCCCAAACCGACACAGGUGGUCAGGUAGAGAAUACCAAGGCGCUUGAGAGAACUCGGGUGAAGGAACUAGGCAAAAUGGUGCCGUAACUUCGGGAGAAGGCACGCUGACACGUAGGUGAAGUGAUUUACUCAUGGAGCUGAAGUCAGUCGAAGAUACCAGCUGGCUGCAACUGUUUAUUAAAAACACAGCACUGUGCAAACACGAAAGUGGACGUAUACGGUGUGACGCCUGCCCGGUGCCGGAAGGUUAAUUGAUGGGGUCAGCGCAAGCGAAGCUCCUGAUCGAAGCCCCGGUAAACGGCGGCCGUAACUAUAACGGUCCUAAGGUAGCGAAAUUCCUUGUCGGGUAAGUUCCGACCUGCACGAAUGGCGUAAUGAUGGCCAGGCUGUCUCCACCCGAGACUCAGUGAAAUUGAACUCGCUGUGAAGAUGCAGUGUACCCGCGGCAAGACGGAAAGACCCCGUGAACCUUUACUAUAGCUUGACACUGAACAUUGAGCCUUGAUGUGUAGGAUAGGUGGGAGGCUUUGAAGUGUGGACGCCAGUCUGCAUGGAGCCGACCUUGAAAUACCACCCUUUAAUGUUUGAUGUUCUAACGUGGACCCGUUACCCGGGUUGCGGACAGUGUCUGGUGGGUAGUUUGACUGGGGCGGUCUCCUCCUAAAGAGUAACGGAGGAGCACGAAGGUUGGCUAAUCCUGGUCGGACAUCAGGAGGUUAGUGCAAUGGCAUAAGCCAGCUUGACUGCGAGCGUGACGGCGCGAGCAGGUGCGAAAGCAGGUCAUAGUGAUCCGGUGGUUCUGAAUGGAAGGGCCAUCGCUCAACGGAUAAAAGGUACUCCGGGGAUAACAGGCUGAUACCGCCCAAGAGUUCAUAUCGACGGCGGUGUUUGGCACCUCGAUGUCGGCUCAUCACAUCCUGGGGCUGAAGUAGGUCCCAAGGGUAUGGCUGUUCGCCAUUUAAAGUGGUACGCGAGCUGGGUUUAGAACGUCGUGAGACAGUUCGGUCCCUAUCUGCCGUGGGCGCUGGAGAACUGAGGGGGGCUGCUCCUAGUACGAGAGGACCGGAGUGGACGCAUCACUGGUGUUCGGGUUGUCAUGCCAAUGGCACUGCCCGGUAGCUAAAUGCGGAAGAGAUAAGUGCUGAAAGCAUCUAAGCACGAAACUUGCCCCGAGAUGAGUUCUCCCUGAGACUUAAAGUCUCCUGAAGGAACGUUGAAGACGACGACGUUGAUAGGC
rnacentral:rRNA from 1 species